UGAUUUUAUGACUGACUGCUCUCCUUCAUGAUAACAGAUCAUAAAGCAAACAUGACUUUAAUAGCCAUCAUUAUUUGGACACUCACAACCUGCAUCUGGAGUUCUGUAGGGCAGAUUCUGACUCAAUCUGAAGAUCAAACAGUGAAGCCUGAUCAGACUGUCACUAUUCACUGUAAUCAUGAACCAGCUGUGAGCUGUGUUAAAAAAGAUACCUCUCAGUAUUGCAUGUCCUGGUACCAUCAGAUUCCUGGAGAAUCUCCUAAACUCCUGAUCUAUUCCACAUCAGACAGAGCUUCAGGUGUUUCUUCUAGAUUCAGUGGCAGUGAAAGUGGAAAUCACAUGGAUUUUACUCUGACCAUCAGUAGAGUCCAGCCUGAAGAUUCAGGAGUUUAUUACUGUCAGAGUCUACAUAACAAGGGAGUCUCUGGCACCACAGACUGGGUGUUCACACAGUGUAAAAUCAUCAUACAAAAACCUCUCUGUGUGAGACUGCAGCACUGCAACUUUGAGCUUCUGCAGAUGUUGAUGUUAAAGAUCAUUAUUCAUCUCACUGACUUUACACAAGCAUACACAUAG